rnacentral:rRNA from 1 species
AUUGAACGCUGGCGGCAUGCCUUACACAUGCAAGUCGAACGGCAGCACGGGAGCAAUCCUGGUGGCGAGUGGCGAACGGGUGAGUAAUAUAUCGGAACGUGCCCAGUCGUGGGGAUAACGUAGCGAAAGCUACGCUAAUACCGCAUACGAUCUAUGGAUGAAAGCGGGGGAUCGCAAGACCUCGCGCGAUUGGAGCGGCCGACAUCAGAUUAGGUAGUUGGUGAGGUAAAGGCUCACCAAGCCGACGAUCUGUAGCUGGUCUGAGAGGACGACCAGCCACACUGGGACUGAGACACGGCCCAGACUCCUACGGGAGGCAGCAGUGGGGAAUUUUGGGACAAUGGGCGCAAGCCUGAUCCAGCAAUGCCGCGUGCAGGAUGAAGGCCUU